rnacentral:tRNA from 1 species
GAAGGUGUAGCUUGAUUGGUAAGAGUGUCUGCUUAACAUGCAGAAUACCUAGGUCCAAUCCCCAGCACUGUAU